AGUGGGAUAGCUGGGUUAAAUGGUGGUUCCAUUCCAAGUUUUCUGAGGAAUCUCCAUACUGCUUUCCAUAGUGGUUGCACCAAUUUGCAGUCCCACCAGCAGU
rnacentral:pre_miRNA from 1 species